UAUAUAUAUGUAUAUAUAUGCAUCUUUUACCUCUCAGUCCCGUUACACUGUAGAAAUAUCUAAACUAAAGUCUUUCCGGAUUGAGAAAAAGAAGAAGAUGAAGAUGGACGAAUUGAGAAGUGGGACAUGCAUGGGACUGAUGAUUCAGAAUUCAUUUAAGGGAAAAAAAAAGUUGGGUGGAUCGAAUUCACUGUUUAUGAAUUAGAAAGAAGGUGGCCAACUGCAUGCAGUGGACAAAAUUGUUGUUCCUUCCGGACAAAGGCAUCUAUCUUGCGAUCUUCAUUGUAUUACUAUUCAUCAGUACAAUAAUGCAAGCAGAAAGGCUAUCUUGAUCAUCAUUCUUUGCUUUAUUUUCUUACUCGAUCCGUUUCCUCAAU
rnacentral:lncRNA from 1 species